ACAACCUUACUUGAACAACAUUUGUUCUAUAUGAUCGUACUACUGUGUUCUUGAUUUCUAAAGAGACACGAAUUUAAAUCUAGAUGAUGAACUGACCGUGCGAUUAGAGC
rnacentral:snoRNA from 1 species